GACAGAGAAAUGAAAAGAAGGGACUAAUGGGGAAUAAGACGUGUGAUCCAUGGCCCAAUGGCCCUGAUGGACGUGAAGAUCCACUGUUGUGGGAGGAAUGGAACACUAACACUAAAUGAUGGAGGCUGUGGUCAGAAACAGAUUUGUCUGAAUUUCAGUUGAUCCAGAGCAAGAAAAAUAGCUGAAUAUAACUGGCCAGUGCAGAAGAGCCUAUGAAGGUGGAAAAUGGAGGAAGGAGGACCCCAUGCUGGAGAAGUGAUGGAGUUUUGAAGUCUUGGAAGAUGGUGGCAAGGGAGAUGCCAGAGAUGAGACAAACCUAAUACUCUGUUAAACAUCUGUAAUCUAACAGUCUUCUAUAGGAGUUUAUUUUAUUUCCAUAUCCUAUGUUCACUUCUAGUGAGAAAUAAAAAUAAAAUCUUAAGCCCCCCACAACUGACUAAAUGGAUCCCAUUGUGAAAGGAAAAUAUCUUGAGCCUCCAAAAUCACUAAGGAAAAUUCAAGCUGGAAACUUCUUAGGACAAACCUGCCUCCCAUUCUCUUCAAAGUUAUUCCUCUGCUCAAGGAGCUAGAUGCAUAUCUGAUUGCCGCCUUUGGAAAGGCUAACCAGAAACUCAAAAG
rnacentral:lncRNA from 1 species